CGCUCCCUGCUCUUCGGGGGAAAGGCUUGCUCCCAGGUUUCCGUGGACAUAUUGCAGGGCGUUGCUACAAGUGUGGCGUGCGGGGCCAUCGUGCUCGCGCCUGCCAAUCGCGGGCUGUUUGUUGGUUGUGUGGCCAGCGGGGCCACACAAGGGUUGUGUGCCCCCAGCGGCAGACUGGGCGCACAACACAAAAACGAGGGCAGCAAAAGCCCUCAAUGCAAUUUACAAACUGCACGUUUGAGAAGUUUAGUGCUUAAACUUCUCAAACGUGCAGACUAGGCUACGUUGACAUAUAAUCUCUAUACCAUCAUUGAUUUUUAACGUUAAACAUCACGCAUUCUAUACACAAGCAAAAUUGACAUUACGGGUUAAAAGGCGAUUCAAUCAAACAAUUAAUGAGAUAUCAGCAUGUGAAAAAUGAGCCAAUAAUGUUUUCAAUCUUAAUAUCGUUCUCAACAAUUCGACUACCCGAUGAGAAAUCACUGUAUGUCAACGUAGCCAAAUAUUGCGAGUUUGUUAUUUUAACUGUUAUGUAAAUAUUAAAUUUGUUCUGUUUUAAAAUGUUUUAUUUUUUAUUGUAAAUACUUUAUUUUGUUAAAUAUAAUAUGAUUUUCACACUGUUUCGGAAAUGAUGUUGUUGCAUUAAGGUCCGGCGAGAGGUCACUGCAUGCAAUGUAUUUCUAGUUGUAUAGUUAUGUCGUCGCCUUGCGGGUUUGGAUUUUCAUCCUCGCCAGAACCGGCGUCGCCGUCCACUAUUGAAACUCUUCGAGAGAGAGAAAUAGAAGGCAGUUCGCCUAUCGGUAUUGGAUUCAGCAGUAACCAUGAGAACACGAGGAGUCCGCAAAGUGUGACGAGCUCUCCUGGGGAUUGAACGACUCCUGUUCACUCACAGUUAUCUAGCCUGUACUCUUCGCCUGUUGGAAUUGGAUUUAGCAGCAGUGACAACGAAAACACACUAAGUCCGCUAAACGUCGCCAACACUCCUCGUAUUUUUAUGACUUCUCCACUGUCUCCUACUCAACACUCGAAGGAAACUCAUCGCCUGCUAGCCCAUCACCAGACAACAGCCCUU